CAAUUAUUCUCCACUACAGGUUGUUCUGAUAUAUUUGAGGAGUCGUUCUCCCUCUGUUCUAUAUGUGGACUUGUUCUCUCAUUUGGGACCACUGUUAGAAUUUGGUUGACCACUUGACAUGUGAGAGCUUGAGGAGUUGUUCCCCCUCCGUCCAUUUUCAAGGAUUUGUUCCACUUCACCACUUUGUGGCUACUGAGAAGUCUAUGAUUAGUUGACCACCCUAUAUAUGAGAGCCUAAUAAGUUGUUUUCCCUCUGUCCCCUUUUGAGGACCUGCUUUGUCUCCUCCAUCAUUCACUGGGCCACUUUUGGGUUCCUGAGCUUAUUUCAUGUGCUUUUCCUGACCUGCUAGAAGUUCUUCUAUGAUGCUUGAGUCAUCCAUCAUAUCUGAGAGCUUCGUCUUGACUGUCACGAAUUUGGUGAGGAGUGGAGCUGGCUGGCUGCGGACCAGGAAGUAGAGCAAUACAUACUUUUGCACAUACAUGUAUAUGAGAAUGCAUAUCUAUUCAAACCUGUAACCCAUGUCUUAGACUUUUCACACAGCUAUAUAUAUAUUUAUAUAUUUUUUUCCAAUUCUCUAUUUAUGGUUUCAUAAUGACUGAGUCACCGUUGAGUGAGUGAGUUUCAGCUCUAAUGCUGUUACUGUCUGCAAUAUGUUUCUAUUUAGAUUAUUUGUCAGGAUAUUUUGUUGUUAUUAUUGUCCGAGUCUGGUUUUAACUAAUACUGGGCUUACACCAAAAGAUUUUCAGUCACAGACUAAAAACUGAAAGGGUAGCAUAAGGGUUCUUCCCGUUAGUCUCGUCCCACCCCUAGUCAUGACAUAACUUCUGUUGUGAUUUGACACUAUAAUGAAUAAAGAUUGAUUGAUUGAUUGCUAUAGCUGUCAAUUUUAGUCCUUGAGUUCAUAGUUAAGUGCUUUAUUUGUUAACUGCUAUCAAGGACUAUGACUCUCCUUUGUAGUAUGCAUGAGAGAAGAUGCCGCGAGAUUAGUGGACUUCUAUGUAGUGUCCUCUGAUAAUGUAGUGGGCUGGUCUGGACAGAAAAUGCCAGGGCUGAAUUUUUGUCCCAGUCCACCCCUGCUUAGAGGGCGAAGCCAUAUACGAAAUAGAACAUAAUACACUCAUACCCAUUCAUUUCCUAUGUUUCACUGUUGAAUAAAUCCUAAAAGCAAGUGGUGAUCAUCAAUUGUAUGUUCAGAGGCCUAGUGUGGAGGAUAACAUAAGGUCUUGAGGCAAUUGGAUGAAAAACAAAAAAGUUAUGAUUGAUGAAAGUAGUAAAUCGGUCAGAUUUGACCCGAAGACAACAGGAGGGUUAAAGAAACUUUGGGAUUGUAGCCUUUGCAGACCAUUUACAUG